UACAGUUAGAGUGGCAGAACUCACUCUCUAUUGAAAUACUCCACUCCUACAGAUGGACAAGAUAAUGACUCUACUACGCUAGCAGCAAGUACUACGCUGCAUGCAGACCUAGCUAGGAGCAAUUAAUCGAUUUGGAAUUUGGCUUCAUCAAUUAAGCAAUAAACAUCAUCAUUCACGGAAAUCCGUCGUAAGCAUUCUCAUUUUCACCGCCGGCAAAUCCUGAUUUAAAUCUGUAAUGUUGAUGGUUAAAGGAUGUAGCCCUGCAAAUUUUCACAUAGGAGCAAUUGAUUCAACCAAAUUACUACUAAUAAUUCGCCUCAAAAAAAUUACUCCUAAUAACAACUGUGCACUAAAACGAAGUAGUAGAUAAUUAAAGUGCAGGAAAAAGAUUACCAAGAUCCUGUUUAUUAAUAUUACUAGGUGCAGCAGUAGGGGGGGCUGGAGCUCGUUUUGGCUGCUGCUGGUCCUUUGCCUUUUCCUCCUCAUUGGCAGCAACAGCACUCUUGUUUCUAUCCAUUGCGUGCAGUGGCAACCAACUCCUCGAAUCUAAUUAAUUAAGUAUAAGAUGCAAAGAAGAGACAGAUUUAAUUAAUUAUACAUGCAUGUCGGAAUUAUUGCAUUAACUGAUCUCAAAAUUUCAAGAUUCAAUGCCCAUAUAAAAUAAUGAAUAUAUCGCUCUAAAUUAAUUAGAUACAUAUGAACUGAAUUGUUAGCUUGCUAAUUCCGUUACUGCUGGUGUAAGGUCCAGGGAAUUAGCUUCGUAUAUUGCUACUACUACUCUACUACCUACUACGUACGUAUGGAGGCAUAUAUAGUUUUGGGGUAUACAAGUUUGGAAUUACAGCAAGCAUACAACAAACCUGUGUGUAUAUGUGUGUAUGAUACACGCACACGCACACUCACUUGUUUUGGUUUUACUCUUCAAUAUACCUUAAUACCUUUACGAGAUUUAACCCAAUUAUUUAGGGUCUAUUCGUCUCAAAGAAAAAACAAAGAAUCCAAUUCCUAAGAAUUGAAUUCCUUUAAAAUUCAUUCGGAUCGUAGGAAUAAACCAUAGGAAAAUCAAAGGAAAAUAUUUCUUCCUAUAAGAUACAGAGAGAAAACAUAGUAAAAUUUCCCUCCACUCAAACCUCUUAGAAAAAUUCCUAUAAAUUAAUGUUGCCAUACGUCUAUAUUCCUCCACCUUUUCUAUUCCUUUAAGUUGAAAUUCCUCCAAACCGAAUAAACUCUUAUAAUAUAUAAAUCCAUGUGUUAAAAUACGUACACCCCAUACUAAUAUAAUAUAUUAUUGUAUAGAAGCUAGUACUACUCAAGAAAUGGUUGUGCUAGAAAGUAGCUAGCUAAGGAGAAAUCUAAGACUUAGUUAAAAUAAUUAACCAACUAUUAGAGAUAUUAUACCUACACAUAUGCUAAUUGAACAACAAGCAAACAAUAGACUGUCGUAAAUAUAUAUACCUAAUAGUACAAAGCUUCAAAAGAAGGGAUCCCCGAGGGUUUGGUGGGACGAAAAUGAAGAGAAGAGACUUGCCCUUAUAACUAGUAGUAGCUGUUAUUGCAUUCCCACAGUGGC
rnacentral:lncRNA from 1 species